rnacentral:rRNA from 1 species
CAGCAGCCGCGGGAAUACGUAGGUGGCAAGCGUUGUCCGGAAUUAUUGGGCGUAAAGCGCGCAGGCGGAUCAGUCAGUCUGUCUUAAAGGUUCGGGGCUUAACCCCGUGAUGGGAUGGAAACUGCUGAUCUAGAGUAUCGGAGAGGAAAGUGGAAUUCCUAGUGUAGCGGUGAAAUGCGUAGAUAUUAGGAAGAACACCAGUGGCGAAGGCGACUUUCUGGACGAAAACUGACGCUGAGGCGCGAAAGCCAGGGGAGCGAACGGGAUUAGAUACCCCUGUAGUCCCUGUCUCUUAUACACA